rnacentral:rRNA from 1 species
UACGGAGGGGGCUAGCGUUGUUCGGAAUUACUGGGCGUAAAGCGCACGUAGGCGGCUUUGUAAGUUAGAGGUGAAAGCCCGGAGCUCAACUCCGGAACUGCCUUUAAGACUGCAUCGCUUGAACGUCGGAGAGGUAAGUGGAAUUCCGGGUGUAGAGGUGAAAUUCGUAGAUAUUCGGAAGAACACCAGUGGCGAAGGCGACUUACUGGACGACUGUUGACGCUGAGGUGCGAAAGCGUGGGGAGCAAACAGG